UACGGGGGGGCAAGCGUUGUUCGGAAUUACUGGGCGUAAAGGGCUCGUAGGCGGCCAACUAAGUCAGACGUGAAAUCCCGUCGGCUUAACCGGGAACUGCAUCUGAUACUGGAUGGCUUGAGUUCGGGAGAGGGAUGCGGAAUUCCAGGUGUAGCGGUGAAAUGCGUAGAUAUCUGGAGGAACACCGGUGGCGAAGGCGGCAUCCUGGACCGACACUGACGCUGAGGAGGCGAAAGCCAGGGGAGCCAAAGCGGG
rnacentral:rRNA from 1 species